GUGCCAGCCGCCGCGGUAAUACCGGUAGCCCGAGUGAUGGCCGAUCUUAUUGGGCCUAAAGCGUCCGUAGCUGGCCGCACAAGUCCGUCGGGAAAUCCACUCGCUUAACGAGUGGGCGUCCGGCGGAAACUGCACGGCUUGGGACCGGAAGGCUCGAGAGGUACGUCCGGGGUAGGAGUGAAAUCCCGUAAUCCCGAACGGACCACCGAUGGCGAAAGCAUCUCGAGAAAACGGAUCCGACAGUGAGGGACGAAAGCUAGGGUCUCGAACCGGAUUAGAAACCCUUGUAGUCC
rnacentral:rRNA from 1 species